rnacentral:rRNA from 1 species
UACGUAGGUGGCAAGCGUUGUCCGGAUUUAUUGGGUUUAAAGGGUGCGUAGGCGGCGAUUUAAGUCAGUGGUGAAAUACGGCAGCUCAACUGUCGAGGUGCCAUUGAUACUGGAUUGCUUGAGUACUGAUGAGGUAGGCGGAAUGGACGGUGUAGCGGUGAAAUGCAUAGAUAUCGUCCAGAACACCGAUAGCGAAGGCAGCUUACUAAGGAGUAACUGACGCUGAGGCACGAAAGUGUGGGGAUCAAACAGGAUUAGAUACCCCCGUAGUCC